rnacentral:lncRNA from 1 species
UGGGACCAAUUGGUGGUGGCUUGGCAGCCUUGACCUCCUUAGGAGCACUAUCUUCAGCGGGUGCAUCGGUGGCGGUGGUGGUGGCUGCAGCGGGUGGUGCGGCGGGUUCUUCUUCGGAUGCCUUAACAAUAACCAAUUGUCGUUUUGAACCACGAUUAUUAAAGUUCAAAAACGAGACACUUGUUCUUGAAGAUGAUACACUUGUGUUUGAAGCAAAAACAGGUAGAAAACCAGCUGCUGCUGCUGCCAUGUUGCUUGUAGCCAUGGCUUCCCACUCUCUCUGCCACUGAAUUCUCUCUUAUUAUCCAGGUGAUAAAGUAUAGAAUUUGGAAAAUAUUAAUGUUGUUGAUGACCGCAAAAAAGGUGUAAGCCAAUAGGGUGCUGCCACGUUGGCAUAUUAUCCAUAUGGAUAGAUUAUUUAUUUGACCCUUUCUGCUCUACUGUUUUUGCUAGAGCUAUUAUUUUCAGUUGAAAUAAUUUGUACUUAGAAUAAGAUGAAGAUUCUGAAUCUGUGUCCAAUUAGGUAUAGUCCAUUCUAUGUGUAACCCACCACACAUUGGCCCAACAACUCGCACUACUUCCCUUUAUUUUCUAUUUUCUUUGGUAAUGACCAAAUUAACGAUCAGCUUAAUGCAUUAAAUUAUUUAAGGUUUUGGUUGAAGAUGCCAAUGAAUUGCGUUUAAAGAUUGAGUAUUGGUAAUAUCAGUCUCAUGUCUAGUUAUAAAAUCAUAUUUUAUACCUAGUCCAAUACUCAUCAGGUAGUCGUUCAUUCGUUAUCAGGCACUCAUUUGUUAAAAAAUACUCGUUAAGAUUUCAAUUUACAUUUCUUUUAUUAUAAUUAAUGAUACAUUACGUAAAUACAAGUUUUAUCAUUAACUAGGGAGAAAGCCCGUGCGAUGCACGGCAUGCAUAAUAGCUAUUGUUUGUUUGUGUUAAGACGUCUUACACGGCCGUUGCAUAACAUGUAAGACAAUACGCCUACAAAGGGGCGUGCUUAAACUUUAUUAAACCAUGGACCAUAAGUUGUUUCCUUGGCAAAACUUGCCGGCAAAAAAGAAGUGAAAAAAGAUGUCU